rnacentral:ncRNA from 12 species
ACAGUACAAACUGAGCAGGCGAUGAAUCAUAUACGAUUCAUGGAGCCGGGUCGCCCUACACGCGGCAGCAGAUACUGCAUCUGUGGGACAGUA